CAUAUACUUCCUCCGUCCAACAAAAAAUGUCUCAAGUUUGUCAAAAUUUGGAUGUAUCUAGACAUGACUUAGUGUAUAGAUGCAUUCAAAUUUAGUCAAAGUUAAGACAUCCUUUGUUGGACGGAAAAAUACUAC
rnacentral:pre_miRNA from 1 species